GAUGAAGAACGUAGCGAAAUGCGAUAAGUAAUGUGAAUUGCAGAAUUCAGUGAAUCAUCGAAUCUUUGAACGCACAUUGCGCCCUCUGGUAUUCCGGGGGGCAUGCCUGUUCGAGCGUCAUUAUAAGCACUCAAGCUCUCGCUUGGUAUUGGGGUUCGCGGUUUCGCGGCCCCUAAAAUCAGUGGCGGUGCCUGUCGGCUCUACGCGUAGUAAUACUUCUCGCGAUUGAGUUCGAUAGGUCUACUUGCCAGUAACCCCCAAUUUUUACAGGUUGACCUCGGAUCAGGUAGGGAUACCCGCUGAACUUAAGCAUAUCAAUAAGCGGAGGA
rnacentral:misc_RNA from 1 species